AUUGUAUCAAAUCUAUUUUAACACAUCACCUAAUUCUCUCUCAGACGAAUCAAGCAAAAGGGUUGUUUCCAUGACAGAUUAUUCAGGGCAAUUUUCAAGGAUUCGGUUUUUAUGGAGUCGGUGAUUGUUUUCUUUCAUAAAAGGAUUGAUAUUCUCCUAUAAAAGGCCACUUCCAGACACCAAAAAAAGGGGGGAGAAGGAAGGGGAAAAAAGAAGAGAAAAAUUGAAAAGAGUGGUUGGAGUAUAGAGAGGUCGGAGUUGAAAAAAACAAGAAGAAAAGGCCAAGGUGAAAGCUGGCAUUAACAACUAUUGCUGGUCUCUUGUGGAUUUUGUUGGUGAAACAAAUAUUUUUCCUUUUCUUCAAGAGUAGUACCAUCAUCUUUCCAAGUAUGUUUCUUUUUUUUGUUCUUAACACCUAAGCUUGCUCCCAUGAAUUCAUUCCACUUAUGGGUGUUUUUGUUUGUAUCAAAAGAAGAAUAACGAGAGAAUGGAAUUGAUUUCUUUUUGAAGAGAUGUUUAGAAAAAGUUCCAAUUUGAUUGAUCCUGAUGAAACCAGCUUCACUAAAAUCAAAAUUCUCUGUGUAAAAAGCUUGCAUUAAAAUUAUGAGGACUUUUCCUCAGUAAACCAACCAACACAUGGAUAAUCUCGGGUUCAUAAAAUCUGGUUGAUGGUCUAAGCUUGCAUCCUGUUUGCUUCAAGUUGCAGUAGUUUCUUUGCUCUUCUUUCUUUCCUUCCACGCCUCUGCUUGCUGCAUGAAUUUGUGUUUAUGGAUUAGGGUCAGUAAAAGAUGUUUGAGCUUUAGGUGGAUCUGGGUUUUGUAUGAUAAUGGGCUAAUGUGGGACUUCUUUUGGACCGUUCAGCUUGGACCUUGGGCCGUGUGUGAUGGGCUAUGGGCCAGGGAACUGGUCUGUGGGUUAGUGUUUUCGGGUUUCAAUGUACACUAGGCUGGGCUUAGGCUUUCCUUGGUAAAUGUUGAUGAGUUUCUGGCAAUGGUUUUGAUUA